rnacentral:lncRNA from 1 species
CUCAAGCGCAGCCAGAGUGGGCGCCGAGGCCAAGGGGGCGCCGAGGCCGAGGAGGCGCCUAGAGCGAGCGAGGGCUGCCAGGGCUGCCAGCAUGCUGUCACCUCUCACAACGAUGCUGAGGACCAGUUUGAGCCAUCAUAUGUCAGGGAGAAAAGAGGAACCUCUGGCAAGGCUAUGCCUGCUACCUGCCUUAUGAUUGGGCAGAAACUCCCACCCAUGGAAGCUGA